rnacentral:lncRNA from 12 species
CUUCUCUUGGGUUUCUGAACCCUCCAGCUCCUCUUCCACCCUGCAUCUUUGCUUUUUGCAGGAGCUGCCAGAUGUCAAAUUGCUUCAUAUUCUGCGGCUUCGAGAUCCAGGCAAAUGUCCACGAAGGAGAGGAUCGUAACCACCAAGACUCAGUGUGAACGCAGGGCCCUGGAUUCUGUUGUGGUAACUUUCCGUGAUAAGAUGUUGAGCUGCAUGGAAUGGACUCAAUCUAUUUUCUUCAUUCUAUCUACGCCUGUCAUUCUGAUCUAUGUCAGAGGACUGAAAGGUGGGAGGAUCAAAUAGGUGAAGUACAGGGGAUUCUUUUAGGGUGGUGAAACUAUUUUGUAUGAUACUGUAAUUGUGGAUACAAGAUGGCAUACAUUUGUCAAAAUCAUAGAAUAUAACAAUACAGAGUGAAUUUCACAU